GCUCGUUCAUGAACAGGGAGAAAAAACUCACAUGCAAGGGUGACGGCUUCUAUCACGGUGCCAUCAUGGCCUCUUCAUCACCAUAUAAAACAGCUCCACCGUUUCAAACCAGCAACAUUACACUUCGUCCACCUGACAUGCAUGAGAUGAGGCUUGUUCUGCUCGG